CAGUAGCCGCGGGAAUACGAAGGGGGCUAGCGUUGCUCGGAAUGACUGGGCGUAAAGGGCGCGUAGGCGGAUUGUUUAGUUAGGCGUGAAAUUCCUGGGCUUAACCUGGGGACUGCGCUUAAUACAGGCAGUCUAGAGUGAGGAAGAGGGUUGUGGAAUUCCCAGUGUAGAGGUGAAAUUCGUAGAUAUUGGGAAGAACACCGGUGGCGAAGGCGGCAACCUGGUCCCUGACUGACGCUGAGGCGCGAAAGCGUGGGGAGCAAACAGGAUUAGAUACCCCCGUAGUCCCUGUCUCUUAUCA
rnacentral:rRNA from 1 species